AUUGAACGCUGGCGGCAUGCCUUACACAUGCAAGUCGAACGGUAACGGGCCUUCGGGUGCCGACGAGUGGCGAACGGGUGAGUAAUACAUCGGAACGUGCCCGAUCGUGGGGGAUAACGAGGCGAAAGCUUUGCUAAUACCGCAUACGAUCUACGGAUGAAAGCAGGGGACCGCAAGGCCUUGCGCGGACGGAGCGGCCGAUGGCAGAUUAGGUAGUUGGUGGGAUAAAAGCUUACCAAGCCGACGAUCUGUAGCUGGUCUGAGAGGAUGAUCAGCCACACUGGGACGGAGACACGGCCCAGACUCCUACGGGAGGCAGCAGUGGGGAAUGUUGGACAAUGGGCGCAAGCCUGAUCCAGCCAUGCCGCGUGCAGGAUGAAGGCCUUCGGGCUGUAAACUGCUUUUGUACGGAACGAAAAGCCUUCUUUUAAUACAGGAGGGUCAUGACGGUACCGUAAGAAUAAGCACCGGCUAACUACGUG
rnacentral:rRNA from 1 species